rnacentral:rRNA from 1 species
UACGUAGGGUGCAAGCGUUGCCCGGAUUUACUGGGCGUAAAGAGCGCGCAGGCGGCUGGUCAAGUCCGAUGUGAAAUCUCCCGGCUCAACUGGGAAACUGCAUCGGAAACUGAUCGGCUUGAAGAUGGGAGAGGGUAGUGGAAUUCCCGGUGUAGUGGUGAAAUGCGUAGAUAUCGGGAGGAACACCAGUGGCGAAGGCGACUACCUGGCCCAUUCUUGACGCUGAGGCGCGAAAGCUAGGGGAGCGAACGGG